UCUUUCUUCUCCUCUUCCUCUUCCUCAUCCUCAUCCUCCUCCAACUUCUUUCAACCUCAUUGUAGUUGUAGGGAUAGUAGUAGUAGCAGUAGUAGUAGUAGUAGUAGUUGUAGUAGCUGUAGUAGUAGACGUUGUAGGAUCUGUAGUAGUAGUAGUUGUAGUUGUAUUAGCAGUAGCAGUAAUAGUUUGUUUCUGUAGUAGUU
rnacentral:miRNA from 10 species